rnacentral:rRNA from 1 species
GAACCUUCGGGGAACGUUAAGGGCGGCGAGCGGCGGACGGGUGAGUAAUGCCUGGGAAUAUGCCCUGAUGUGGGGGAUAACUAUUGGAAACGAUAGCUAAUACCGCAUAAUCUCUUCGGAGCAAAGAGGGGGACCUUCGGGCCUCUCGCGUCAGGAUUAGCCCAGGUGGGAUUAGCUUGUUGGUGAGGUAAUGGCUCACCAAGGCAACGAUCCCUAGCUGGUCUGAGAGGAUGAUCAGCCACACUGGAACUGAGACACGGUCCAGACUCCUACGGGAGGCAGCAGUGGGGAAUAUUGCACAAUGGGGGAAACCCUGAUGCAGCCAUGCCGCGUGUGUGAAGAAGGCCUUCGGGUUGUAAAGCACUUUCAGUAGGGAGGAAGGUAGUGUAGUUAACACCUGCACUAUUUGACGUUACCUACAGAAGAAGCACCGGCUAACUCCGUGCCAGCAGCCGCGGUAAUACGGAGGGUGCGAGCGUUAAUCGGAAUUACUGGGCGUAAAGCGCAUGCAGGCGGCCUGUUAAGUCAGAUGUGAAAGCCCGGGGCUUAACCUCGGAAUUGCAUUUGAAACUGGCAGGCUAGAGUCUUGUAGAGGGGGGUAGAAUUUCAGGUGUAGCGGUGAAAUGCGUAGAGAUCUGAAGGAAUACCAGUGGCGAAGGCGGCCCCCUGGACAAAGACUGACGCUCAGAUGCGAAAGCGUGGGGAGCAAACAGGAUUAGAUACCC